rnacentral:rRNA from 1 species
UACGAAGGGGGCUAGCGUUGUCCGGAUUCAUUGGGCGUAAAGAGCGCGCAGGCGGCUUGGUAAGUCGGAUGUGAAAUCCCGAGGCUCAACCUCGGGUCUGCAUCCGAUACUGCCCGGCUAGAGGUAGGUAGGGGAGAUCGGAAUUCCUGGUGUAGCGGUGAAAUGCGCAGAUAUCAGGAGGAACACCGGUGGCGAAGGCGGAUCUCUGGGCCUUACCUGACGCUCAGGCGCGAAAGCUAGGGGAGCGAACUGG